rnacentral:rRNA from 1 species
AGGACGAACGCUGGCGGCGUGCUUAACGACAUGCAAGUCGAGCGGAAAGGCCCUUCGGGGUACUCGAGCGGCGAACGGGUGAGUAACACGUGAGCAACCUGCCCUUAGCUCUGGGAUAGCUCCGGGAAACCGGAAUUAAUACCGGAUAUGACCUAGGCCGACAUCGGCCGUGGUGGAAAGUUUUUCGGCUAGGGAUGGACUCGCGGCCUAUCAGCUAGUUGGUGGGGUAAUGGCCUACCAAGGCGACGACGGGUAGCCGGCCUGAGAGGGCGACCGGCCACACUGGGACUGAGACACGGCCCAGACUCCUACGGGAGGCAGCAGUGGGGAAUCUUGCGCAAUGGGCGAAAGCCUGACGCAGCGACGCCGCGUGGGGGAUGAAGGCCUUCGGGUUGUAAACCCCUUUCAGCAGGGACGAAGCGAAAGUGACGGUACCUGCAGAAGAAGCGCCGGCUAACUACGCGCCAGCAGCCGC